rnacentral:lncRNA from 1 species
AGGGCAGAGAUGGGUCCUUUAUUUUUCUCUCUAAUCUAGCCCAUAUGCUUAGCUGAGAAGGUUUCUUCAUAUCACUUUAAAUGAUGAUGUCCUUGUACAACAAUUUUCGAAACAUUCUUUAGAUAAGAAUUUUAUGGGCAUCCUUUAUUGCAUUAGGCUCAAAUUUCAUGCAUCUUAAGGUUUUAUUGCAAAGUGUUGCCUUGUUUCCUUUUUAAGAUGAUACAAUUUGUAACACGCAAGUUUGCUGUCUGUCCCCUCCCUUUAUGUACAUAUAAAAUGAGCAAACAUGUGGCCAUGAAACAGAUGGUCAUAGAAUUGGUUCAGUGGUUGUGAGUUCAGCAACCCAAGAGAGUCUUAUCUGAAAUACCACCAGGAAUGCCUGGACACAGUAGACAAAAGUUGUUCAACUGGACGCCUUAGGAUACACGCUACCAAAAACAAAGUAGCCAAAAAGGAACCAGAAUAACAGAAUAUCAGAGCCAGAGGAACAUUUGGAGGUAAUUCAGUACCUCCUCCUUUUCAACCUACAGGAGAGAUAGUGGAACAGAAGCAGAAAUGGGCCUGCCUGCUGUGCCCAAAAUUCAUUGGAGAUUGUUGUGGUGAAGAAUUUCAUUUAUGAUGAAGGAGAAAUAAACCCUGUCAGCUUAAAUUCAGGCAGGUUUAUUGAAAAGGUGAAGAAGCGUCUUGCAGAAGCAAAGCAUGGCUGAGGCUUGUGGGCUCUGUCUGGGAAAAUGAGCAGCUGACAGUGGCUGAUGCUGCCCCUGACUCUGGGGCCAUGUGGUCUCUUGUUCCCUGAGAGCAUCUCUUCUAUUCUCUUGCAUCUUCCCUCAGCCUGGCAGUCUCUGUGUACUCUGCAACACAUAAUUGAGCAAGGCUGUGCCAGCCCCAAUGCCACCUGGCACUUUAGGUCAAAUUAGAAAGGCAUGAAAUAAAGUGGCCCUUUAUAAUACAGCUGUUGGAACAACAGUUGGAAGUACAAUAUCUUGACUCCUUAUUUAGUGCUUUAUGCUGAACUUUCUUUUCUGAAUAUGAGCACAGACUUCGGAAUAUUAAUGUCACCUAGCGUUCUUAGCUAGUAUUCUCCUUUUGUUUUCCCAUAACAUCCCCUCCUUCUUCCCACAGAUCCACUGUCCACUCAUUUCCAUCCUGUCUCAUGCCACUCGGGGCUCGUCCCUCCUAGAAUGCAUCCCUGGCUCCCCUGCGUGCACACUUCUAGUUAGGUUUAGCAAUGGAGGGCCCCCGAUGGAUCCUGGAAGUGAGAGGAAGUGUCCACAGAUCAGAAGUUCAGGCCUGGAUUCUCUGGGUCUUCUUCUCAGGGCCUCACAGGCUGAAAUUAGGCUGGGUUUCUUUCUGGAGGUUCUGGGGAAGAACUUCCUCUCAAGUUUCCUCAGGUUGUCAGCUGAGUUCAGUUCCUUGUGACUGUAGGACUGAGAUCUCUGUUUUCUUGCUGGCUGUCAGCCAGGGGCCUCUCGCUGCUCGUAGAGGCCUCCCAUGUUCCCACUGCAUGCUUCCUCCAGCCAGCAGAGGAGGAUCGCCCUGCAUGGAAACCCUCCUGCACUUCACAUCUCUCCAGGAAGUCCUCAGUCCCUCCAAGGAACUCACGUUCACUAGGUCAAGCUCAUCAGAUAAUCUGUCUAUCUUAAAUUUGACCGAUUUGGGAUCUCGAUUACAUCUGUUAACUUGUUUUUGCCAUAAAUUGUAGCACAAUCACAGGAGUGACAUCUCCUCAGUAGCUUUGUCUACACUCAGGAGGAAGUGAUUAUAUAAGAGCAAAGAUCACUGGGGGUCAUCUUAGGAUUCUGUCUACCAUAAUAUUAUAAAGACACAGUAAUUAAAAGAGUAUAACAGAUUUCUGCUUCUGUCUGUUAGAAUAAAUCAUAUCAGACUAACCCUGCCUCCAUAAACAAACGUAAAAUUGUUUUCAGCAGUGUACAACAGGCAGUCCAAGAGAAAACUUAAGGGGGAAGCCCCAUGAUUUCCUAGUUGUUUGGGGAGAAUUUCUCAGCAGCUGCAUAGUGAGCUAGAGUCCACUCAGGGCAGGGCAGCUCACUGAGCUGAGAAGGCAGAGAUCAGAGUUCAAGACGGCUGAAGCAACUGCAAUCUGCAGGGCAGGGCACCAGUGAGGAGACAGCUGAUCAAAGGUGCAGCUCUCAAAGUCUAUGUGGGGUUCCAUGUGCAUACUUAUCAAGGAGUGGACUCUACCUGCACAAGGAAAAGACUAACAGAUUUAACAGAGGGGUGGCUGCUAUGAAAUUGAGUUUGGACCAGAGGUACUUGAGGUGGAGGAGGGUUGGGGAAUGUAUGAUGGAGUUUCUGCCAUCCAUGGUGGGAAGAACUCAUGCACACCUCAUUAGCACCCAGGUAUCCAACUGAGACACUAGAAUGGAUGUGCUUUAGGAAUAAGUGUCACACUUUUCAAUAAGGCCUAUUGUAGACCAACCUGCUAAAGCCUAAAAGCAAACCCUGACAAAUUCACAAAGGGGUGGAUUGGUGAUUGAGUCCUGCCAAAUUAGAGGGUCUUGGGAAAUGCUGUGGGCUUUCCAUGAAUCCGUUGUAAUAAAACAUAAACCAGUCCACAUAAGUCCAAAGUGAUCAGACAGUAAUUUUACUGCCCACUAGAACAAAAUUAAUUCACACAAUCAAUGACACAUGUUAGCCAGGUCGAUAUUUAAGCAAAAUACAUCUAAGAACAGCUAACAAAUAACUCUUCUCAAACUCACAUAGAGCAUUCAGCAAGAUAGACCACAUGUGCUGAGCCAUCGUUAGUAUUUUCUGUCCUUUCUCUUUGACUCGUGUAUAGUGUGCUCAAACUCUUAAAAUUAUACACUUUAAUGAUUAUACACUUUCAUGCAUCUCAAUUGCAUGUAAGUUAUAUUUCAACAUAUUUGUUAAAAGUUUAUAAUUAAAAAAACUGUCCUAGCUUGAUUCAAGAAAUCUUUUUUAUAUUUAAGAAAAUGUAAUGUUAUGUAUUAUCAGGGCAAAAGAGAAAAACCAUAUGAUUACCUUGUCAUACACAGUAAAAGCAUUUGGCACAAUUGAAAACUUUUUUCAUGAUUUAUAAAAACAAACCCCAGAAAACUCUCAGCAUGAUAAGAAGAGAAGGCAACACUUUCAACCCUAUUAAGGGUAGAUUUGAAAAAAACUCAGAGGUAACAUUAUAUUAAAUGGCAUAGGAUUGAAUGCUUUUCUAUUAAAUCAGAGAAAAAAGUAGAAUAUCUGUUGUUAUUCUUUCAAUUCAGCAUUAUACUAGAGAUCUAAAUCAAUGCAAUAAAGUAAGAAAAAUAAAUAAAAGUAUUGAAAAGAUUGAAAAGAAAGAAUUGAAGCUGUCUUAUUCACAGAUAAUGACUGUGUAUGUUAAUAAUCCUAGAAAUCUAUAAAAAUCUGCCAAAACUAAUUAGUGAGUUUGGUAAUGUUGCAGAAUAUAAGCUCAAUAGAAGUAGUCUUUUGUAUUUCUGUGUAUUAGCAAUGAGCAUUUGGAAAAUGAAAUAAAAAUACAAUUUCAUUUCAAGUAACAUCUAAAUACAUGUUGUGCUUAGAAAUAAAUUCAACAGGCUGGAUCCGGU